rnacentral:rRNA from 1 species
UACGUAGGCAGCGAGCGUUGUUCGGAGUUACUGGGCGUAAAGAGUGCGUAGGCGGUUUUCUAAGUUUGGUGUGAAAUCUCCCGGCUUAACUAGGAGGGUGCGCCGAAAACUGGAAGGCUUGAGUAUGGGAGAGGUAAGCGGAAUUCCUGGUGUAGCGGUGAAAUGCGUAGAUAUCAGGAGGAACACCUGCGGUGUAGACGGCUUACUGGACCAUAACUGACGCUGAGGCACGAAAGCGUGGGUAGCAAACAGG